rnacentral:ncRNA from 2 species
GCGUUCAUAGCGACGUUGCU